GACGAACGCUGGCGGCGUGCUUAACACAUGCAAGUCGAACGGAAAGGCCCUUCGGGGUACUCGAGUGGCGAACGGGUGAGUAACACGUGGGUGAUCUGCCCUGCACUUUGGGAUAAGCCUGGGAAACUGGGUCUAAUACCGAAUAGGACCACGCGCUUCAUGGUGUGUGGUGGAAAGCUUUUGCGGUGUGGGAUGGGCCCGCGGCCUAUCAGCUUGUUGGUGGGGUAAUGGCCUACCAAGGCGACGACGGGUAGCCGGCCUGAGAGGGUGACCGGCCACACGGGGACUGAGAUACGGCCCAGACUCCUACGGGAGGAAGAGGUGGGGAAUAUUGCACAAUGGGCGAAAGCCUGAUGCAGCGACGCCGCGUGAGGGAUGACGGCCUUCGGGUUGUAAACCUCUUUCAAUAGGGACGAAGCGCAAGUGACGGUACCUAUAGAAGAAGCACCGGCCAACUACGU
rnacentral:rRNA from 1 species